GAUGAACGCUGGCGGCGUGCCUAAUACAUGCAAGUCGAGCGAACAGAUGAGGAGCUUGCUCCUCUGACGUUAGCGGCGGACGGGUGAGUAACACGUGGAUAACCUACCUAUAAGACUGGGAUAAUUUCGGGAAACCGGAGCUAAUACCGGAUAAUAUAUUGAACCGCAUGGUGCAAUAGUGAAAGACGGCUUUGCUGUCACUUAUAGAUGGAUCCGCGCCGCAUUAGCUAGUUGGUAAGGUAACGGCUUACCAAGGCAACGAUGCGUAGCCGACCUGAGAGGGUGAUCGGCCACACUGGAACUGAGACACGGUCCAGACUCCUACGGGAGGCAGCAGUAGGGAAUCUUCCGCAAUGGGCGAAAGCCUGACGGAGCAACGCCGCGUGAGUGAUGAAGGUCUUCGGAUCGUAAAACUCUGUUAUUAGGGAAGAAAAAAUGUGUAAGUAACUAUGCACGUCUUGACGGUACCUAAUCAGAAAGCCACGGCUAACUACGUG
rnacentral:rRNA from 1 species